GAGGUGGGAUUAGAACCCACGACCUCUGCCUCCCGAGCCUGGGCUCUUGCCACUAAGCCACGUUGCUGUGGAGAGUUCCCGAAGGUAUUACCCAGCUCUUCAAUUGGACCUCCAAAGCCUGCCCGAUUUUGCAACAGUUACAGUAUGCCCCGGAAUUGGAGCCAUGAUGAAAUUUCCCUGAACACAUCAUUUUGCAAAAUUAAAUGUUUCUCGUUCCAAAAGCAGACGGCUCAGUGAGCCUUUAUAUAACUUGGGGGAGCGGGGGAGGAGAUAAUGUAA